AAGAUAACCAAACGCAAGGCAGAAUCAGCUAACGACACUGAUGAGAUACCUGCUGAGCAAAAAGCCAGUGUUAAGACACGUAUGGCUGUCAACUGGGAGCCAAAGUUUUCGCCCCUUUCUGAGACUGUAGAGAGUCAGCUUAAGAGAAAAGAAGACAUGAAAAAGAUGUUCAAAGACAAAAAUUACGCUGCAGAAGAUGUGAAAGAACUUAUCAAGUCCACCUAUUACACGCAACGAAAGGACAUCAAUAAAGGUACAAGCAUCCUGAAGCUAUGCCAAGAAUGGCCUUUUUUGUUCCACAAAACUGGCAUGGCAGAACACUUCCAGCAACUUGCAUCAAUCUGAUGGAAGCCUUCUUCACCAAUCUGGACAAAAAGGGGGAGCGCAUCCUCAACUUCCUUAAAACUGUUUUUGCUGAGAAAGAAAACCAAGUUCUGGAGUCUCUCCUCAAGUUAGCAAAUGACAAAGGUCAGUCCAGUGGUUGUACAGAGAUGAUUCUUCUUCUACUUGCUUUUUUUUUUUUUUUUGUGAGAAGGAAGAGCAUAUGUUCCACUAUGUUGAGAAGACCAACCUUGCUGAAGAGGUUGAGAUGGAGGAUGUGCUAACAACACCCUGCCUUAUUGUGUGUGGGUCCUCUUGCUUCACUGCAGACUGCUUCAUGUUGAGCGUUGAUCAGAAAAUUGUCAAUGACGACAUCACUGCCUUCUCCUGUGCAUCUGCCUGAUGUUUGGCAGUUACUAUUGUUUUAAUAUACACUACCCAGUGGGACUGCGGUCAACACUGGAGUUCCUCCAGAGGUGUUUCUUUUCAAUAAAUCCGGAAAGAGGAACAAAAGUUGAGCACAGCAAGAGGAGGAAGAUCUUCGCGGUCAACCCAAGAGUCCUCACACUCAUCACUGACCUUGCAGACCAUGAGUGGACUUAGACCAUACUUUUGUGCAUUCCUACAAAGAGACGAAAAGAGAGAAGACUGUGAGAGAAAAAAGUGGAAAAACAUACGUGACCAUACUCCCAGAGCCAAGAAGUUGCAUAAUAUAUUCAUUAUACAUAAUAAAUCUCCAGUAGUGGAACAAGAAAAACGAAGCAGGAGCGUUCUUGUUAAGGCUCUGAGCCGAGAGAUGUAAAUCCAUUAAAAGAUUUGUGACAUUUUAAAAGUCCCUCUUGAAGCCAAACUUUGCUUCAGAAACAAAGUCUUUAAAGGCUCCGUUUGGAAAAAUGGUCAUUAUCACUGAGAGGGAAAAAUACACCAGUGUGACCUGCAUGGAAAGAAAAACGGAGGAGAGAGGAAACAUGGGAUUAAAACCAAAUUUAUCCCCAGCAAUGACGCUUUAAAGUCCCGAGAAGAUACGUUUACAUGGAACAUUACACAGAAAAGACGAAAGGUGACUUAAGGCUAACAUUUUAAACCAAAAGCCAGCAGUAUCACCUGACAGGUGUGGUGCUGCGGUAUGCUGAUGUUUUAGGGCCCUCAGGGAAAAAGUUUUGUCUCGACAGGCAUCAAAAACGUCAGUUUUUUAGAAGGGAUGACUGUAAAACUGAAACUGCUAAGGUUGGAGAAAGUGGCACACUUAAUGUCGUCAGCCUUUCAGUUCUUUUAAAAAUACACAAAUAUUUAGAGUGAAAAACCAUGAAGAUCAAAGCAAAAAUCUCCCACUUUGUGAGAUGAUCUAUCGCUGAUUUUAAUUACUGAGUUAUAUCAAUACUUUAAAGCAGCCAUUUUGUCUUUUUCUUUUUUUUUACUGACAGUAAUUUGUUUCCCUAAAUUUGCCAAUACAGAUGAAUGCAAAGUGGACAGAAAUUUAUAUAUAAUUUAGAAAUUUAAGAAUAAAAUCUGAAAAGUGUGGCAUGCAUCUGUAUUCAGCCACCCUCAGAUAAAAUCUAGUGCAACCAACCGGCUGCAGAGGUAAAUUAACUCCUAUACAUCAGAGGAAGAGUAGCUGUCUUGCCAUAUGUUGAUGUAACUUAGGCAACUUAACCUCCAGUUGCCUACCGAUCUGCAUAUCGGUUUUAUGUGUGAGCGUUAGUGAGUGCGUGAAUUUGGCUCUAGUGUAAAGUGCUUUGAGUUGUCUGAUUGGAAAGGCACUAUAUAAGUUCAGUCCAUUUAACUAGAGUCCACCUGUGUGUCAUUUAAUCUCAGUAUAGUUACAGCUGUUCUGUGAAGGCCUUGGAGGUUUGUUAGUGAACAAUAAUCCACAUGAAGAGGAACCCAGCAGAGAGAUCUGAGAUAAAGCUUUGGACAGGUUUAAAGCACAGUUGGGUUAAAAAAAAAAAACAAUAUCCUAAACUUCGAAGAUUUUAUGCAGCACCUUUUAAUCCACAUCUAUGAAGACUUUAAACUGGUUCAUUAAACUGACGAGCCAAGAAAGGAGAGCAUUAGUUAGAGAAACUGUCAAGAGGCCAUGGUAACUCUGAAGGAGCUGCAGAAAUCCACAGCUCAGGUGGUGGGACCUGUUGACAGGACAGCUAUUUGUCAUGCUCUUUACAAAUCUGAGCUUUAUGGAACAUUAGCAAGAAGAAGGUAAUUGUUGUAUACUUUGUUUGUGUUAAAGUUUGCUGUGAAUCAUGUACAGGAUGCAGCAAACAAAUGGAAGGAUUGCUCUGUUCUGAUGAGACAUCAUUAAACUUUUUCGCCUACAUGAAAAACAUUGUGUGUUGAGGAAAACCAACAAUACAUGUCAUCCUGAACACACCGUUCCUACAGUGAAACAUGGUGGUGGCAGCAUCAUGCUGUGGGGAUGCUUUUUUUCAGCAGAAUACUAGUUAGAGUUGAUGGAUAAAUGGAUACAUACAGGGGGAAACUCAAAGAAAACCUGUUAGAAGUUGCAAAAGACAAGAGCUAAGGAUCACCUUCCAGCAGGACAGACCCUAAACAUAAAGCCAGGGCUACAAUGAAGCAUAUUAUUGUGUAAGAAUAGCCCGGUCAAAGUCCAGACAUGAAUCUAAUUGGGAAUCUGUGGAAAGACUUCCAAACUGCUGUUUACAGAUGCUUUUAUGCAUACAGAGUGAGCUGGAGCUAUUUUGCAAAGAAAACGGGUGAAUAUCAGUCUCAGUAGAAUCAAGCACCUGAAGACUUGCAACUGGAAUUGCCACAAAUGGUGGUUCAACAAUGCAUUUACACAGGAAUACACGCCACACUUUUCAGGUUUUUCUUGAAAAUCCAAAAUUUUCCUCUACUUCACAAUUAUUUGCCAUUUUGUGAUGGUCAGUUAUACAAAAUCCCAACUAAAUACAUUGAGGUAUGUUGUUUUAACAAGACAAAAUGUGAAAAAGUUUCAUUGGUAGUAAGACUCUUGUGAGGCACUAUAGAAAAAGCUUCCAAACUCCUCCCCUAAUGGUGAUUGAGAACAUGUUUUUACAAGCUAUUAUGAAUCUGGGUUCUUAAUUCUCAAAUAUGCAUCAUGCAUUUUUCAAUUUGUUUCCCAAUUAAAAUAACACAUAACAGUAUUCAUAGCAACAAAGACUAUGAUCUAGAGCCACUAAACCUUUGUUGCUACUGUCAGUAAUAAUGCUGAUGCAAAUAAAAAGAAAAGAGAGGAGAGAGAAAGGGUAGAGAGUCAUGCAU